UGAAGUAUACAUGCAGCAGUUGGGUUGGAACACUCCUAGAUUGACCGGUGAGGGUGCAGAUGUAGAACAUAGUGAACACACACCAAUAGUCCCAUACUUGUAUAUUUUUGACGACGACUCUGGUGAAACUGAUUGAUGCUGCAGAAGGAGAACGUAGUGAAUUCACACCCACUGGAAGCCUGUAUUUCUGUCUUUGAUGACGACUCUGAUGAAGCUGAUUAAAAGUUUCAUUCCUAAUGUGGAACAACAAAGUUUGAAUUAUGCUUGAUUAAAAAAUAUACCUUUAGUUAUCAAUAAAUUUUAACUCACGGAUACUAGAGUUGUCUCUAAUGAUAAAGUAUUGAGUUAGAGUUUUAAUCGAAACUCGAGGAAUUGAAAAAGAAACCUUUAGCUAGUCUUGACUACUUUGACAACAUAGCUUUAAUUUCAGUGUCUUAUCGAUUCAAUUUAAUGUUUUAAUAAAAUUUUUGAAAGGGGAAAAAUUUAGAUAUGAUUCAAAAAUUAAUUAUAAAAAAGUUUUAUUUCAUGUUAUUUUUCUAUCCAAUCACACUGCCGCUGAAGGAUUAACUGAUUAAUAAGUAAUGGAUAAAUAGAACGGAAAUAUUGAAAUUCCCUCGUUGCCCUCCAUAAAGCCAACUAAAGCAGCCAAAUUAGAUGGCCAGAAAGGUCAUCAGAAUACAGUUGUUUGAUUUAUGGGGCCAAUAUCCUUUUUCGGUUUAAGAACGUUGGGACUUGGGGCAGAGGCUACAAUCACACUGAGCAGUAACAAACAUGGCAAGAAGCUCGGAUUAUGGAGCUUUCAUGGAGAAAUUCGUGCUCAAACCGAGUUCAUCUCAUGAACUUCCCUUAAAUGGUCUUACCUUUGCGGUUAAAGAUAUUUUCGAUGUGAAUGGAUUUGUGACUGGGUUUGGCAAUCCGGACUGGGCAAGGACCCAUUCAGCUGCUAAAUCUACUCCUCCGGCUGUUUUGGCUAUCUUGAGAGGAGGAGCCACAUGUGUUGGUAAAACUGUCAUGGAUGAAAUGGCAUAUAGUCUAAAUGGGGCAAAUAAACAUUAUGGCACACCUACAAAUCCUUGUGCUCCAGAUCGUGUACCCGGAGGAUCUUCCAGUGGGUCUGCUGUUGCAGUAGGUGCAAAGCUUGUAGACUUCUCCUUAGGAACUGACACUUGAGGUAGUGUAAGAGUUCCAGCGUCAUAUUGCAGCAUUUUGGGGUUUCGACCUUCACAUGAUGCUGUUUCUACUGCUGGAGUUAUUCCCAUGGCACAGAGUUUUGAUACUUAGGGAUGGUUUGCUAGGGAUCCAGUGAUUUUGAAUCGAGUUGGUCGCAUUCUACUUCAAUUGCCUGAUGUGGAUCUGGUUAGAGCAAGGCAGAUAUUUAUUGCAGAAGACUGUUUUAAGCUUUCAAGCAUUCCGAAUAAUCGAGUUAGUCAAGUUCUUGUUAAAUCAGCGGAGAAGUUAUUUGGGGGUGAUGUUGUGAAGCAUUUAAUCCUUGGGGACUAUGUUGAGAAUAAAGUUCCAAGUUUGAGUCAUUUUAUUAGUAAAGAAAUCAAAAAGCAAGACUAUGGUAUAGCAUCCUUGGCAGCCCUCUCAAGUGCCAUGCGUUUGCUUCAAAGGAAGAGGAUGUUGAAAUUAUUGUACACCAUAUGCUUGGUGUGGUUGAUUCAUUCUUGAGAAGGGGUGAUCAAUCUCAUCCAAUGAGAACACCUGAAACAAAACAAGGAGAGUUCAAGAAUCUAGUCUCUGAUGCAGCAAGGCCUUUUCUAGCAGCAAGAACAGAACGAUUCGUGAAUGAGAUGGAAUUGUUUCUUGCUUCAGGUUUCAACAUUGAAGCCUAUGAUGAAGUAUACAUGCAGUAGUUGGGUUGGAACACUCCUAGAUUGACUGGUGAGGCUGCAGAUGUAGAACAUAGUGAACACACACCAAUAGUCCCAUACUUGUAUAUUUUUUACGACGACUCUGAUGAAACUGAUUGAGGCUGCAGAAGGAGAACGUAGUGAAUUCACACCCACCUGGAAUUCUGUAUUUCUAUCUUUGAUGCCAACUCUGAUGAAGCUGAUUAAAAGUUUCAUUCCUAAGGUGGAACAACAAAGUUUGAAUUAUGCUUGAUUAAAAAAUAUACCCUUAGUUAUCAAUAA